UAUAUAUAUAUAUAUAGAGAGAGAGAGAGAGAGAGAGAGAGAGAGAGAGAGAGUCUGGCUACUAUAUACUUUUAUGAUUAUGAUCGUCCUCGUAUUCAUAAGUCAUUUUCGAUGAUAAAACUUUCGAAUCGACGAUCCAUACCAUUAUACAUUAUUUAAAGCAUUUAAAAUUUUUAGAAAUCAAAUUUUAUAAUUUUUCGACAUCAUUUACCUAACGAUCAAAAUGUCAGAAAAUUGAUAAUUUUAACGGCCGGUAUGAAAUACUUGCUAGUUGAACGAUGUGAAAGAAUUGAAAUUUGUUGAAUUUUUUAUAGAAAAUUCUAUUCACUACCUAGAUAAAGUUAAAUAACUCCGAUUUUAAAUUGAAGGAUCCGAUCAUUUAUUUCUAGGACGUCGUUCGAUUUUGACUGUUCAUUUUAUACUCGCUUGAUGGGCUCUAUAAUAAUUUUGAAAAAUUACGAGAUUUAUUUUUUAGAAGUUUCAAAUACUCUAGAUUAUACUUAACGAAGUGGAUCGUCAAUUUGGAAGCUCCAUCAUCAAAAAUAAUUUAUGAGUACGAAAAGCUAGAUAAUCAUACGACUAUACGAGUAUAGUAACCCUACCGAUAGUAUUCUAACUCAACUCUAUAUAUAUAUAUAUAUAUAUAUAUUUGCUUCCACGAUCAAAUUUUUUUUAAAAAAAAUAGCUUA
rnacentral:lncRNA from 1 species